rfam:Anopheles epiroticus strain epiroticus2 unplaced genomic scaffold supercont1.112, whole genome shotgun sequence.
AAAUCGGCCCUUUUCAGGGCCACUGAUCGAAUUGCACUUAAAAAAA